rnacentral:rRNA from 1 species
GCUCAGCCYUAAACCCCAGUAGUCAACAUAACAWUGCUAUUCGCCAGAGUACUACUAGCAACAGCCUAAAACUCAAAGGACUUGGCGGUGCUUUAUAUCCCUCUAGAGGAGCCUGUUCUACAAUCGAUAAACCCCGAUAAACCUCACCAACCCUUGCUAAUACAGCCUAUAUACCGCCAUCCUCAGCAAACCCUAAAAAGGAUUAACAGUAAGCACAAACAUAAGACAUAAAAACGUUAGGUCAAGGUGUAGCCCAUGAGUUGGGAAGAAAUGGGCUACAUUUUCUAGCAUAGAACAUCAACGAAAACUUUCAUGAAAAUUGAAAAUAGAAGGAGGAUUUAGUAGUAAAUUAARAAUAGAGAGCUUAAUUGAAUAAGGCCAUGAAGCACGC